AUCGCUUCUCGGCCUUUUGGCUAAGAUCAAGUGUAGUAUCUGUUCUUAUCAGUUUAAUAUCUGAUACGUCCUCUAUGUGAAACAGAUCACCAGCC
rnacentral:snRNA from 1 species